CUCCUAUUUAUACUAAUGAAUAAAAAUGUCCAAAACCAUCAAAUUAUGGUAAUAAUUUGAUUUCAUAAGAAUUCUAUCGAAACUAGGAAAUUCGGCCAAAAAUAGAAAAUUCUCCAAUUUUUUUGGUUUCUACGGCCGCAUGGUGUAAAUCCAUGCAGUCGCAUGGUUCAUCAAGAAAGACAAUUUUUAUUUUCGGUAUGCAUGUGUGCGGCCGCAUGGAGUUUUGCCUGUGCGGCCACAUGGUGUUGUUUUCUACCUCCGCUUUCGUCGCUUGAUAACAAAUUGAUCUAAGUCGAUUCGGCCUUCGACUCGAACAUGAAAGUUGCUCCAUUUUGAGUCCCGAACAUGGUUCCAUCAAUGGUUUCUUGAACAAGCAAUCCCAUCGCUUGUUUCACUUGCUUUGCCCUUGAUCGCGUCAUUGGUCCGCCAUCGACUAUCAACGGGUCUCGUCUCGCACUUGCCUUCAUCGGGCUCGACUCCUGGAUCAUAUCAUCCCCUCCCUCUUCAAAAGGAUUCGUCCUCGAAUCUAAACCUGCAUCAAACAGAGAGAGAUCAGAUACAUUAAAAGUAGCUGAAACAUUAUACUCACCAGGUAAAUCCACUUUGUAUGCAUUGUCAUUGAUCUUCUCGAUGAUUUAAAACGGUCCAUCGCCUCGUGGUUGCAAUUUUGACUUCCUCUGUUCUAGAAAAUGCUCUUUUCUGAAAUGCACCCAGACCCAAUCUCCAGGCUCAAAUGUAACGUGUCUUCUUCCUUUAUUUGCUUUUGAUGCAAUCAGCUUUCCUUUCUCUUCGAUCUGCAUCCUGACCUUUUCAUGGAAUGUUUUCACCAUCUCGACUUUGCGUUUCCCAUCCAAGCUACCUCGUUCAUGCACAGGCAAAGGCAUUAAAUCCAUAGGUAUUAGUGGAUUAAAACCAUAAACAAUUUCAAAAGGAGAAAACAAAGUAGCAGAAUGUGUAGCUCGAUUAUAUGCAAACUCUAUAAGCGGUAAACACUCUUCCCAUGAGUUCAGAUUUUUAUUGAUCACUGUCCUAAGUAGUUGAGUCAUAGUUCAAUUAACUACCUCAGUUUGUCCAUCUGUUUGUGGGUGACAAGUUGUAGAAAAUAAUAACUUAGUUCCUAACUUACUCCACAGAACAUGCCAAAAAUGACUCAAAAACUUCACGUCCCUAUCAAACACUAUACUUUUAGGUACUCCAUGUAAACGUACUAUUUUCCUAAAGAAUAAGUUUGCAAUAUUAGUAGCAUCAUCAGUUUUAUGACAUGGUAUAAAAUGCGCCAUCUUACUAAACCUAUUGACCACUACAAAUAUUGAAUCCCGACCCCUUUUGUCCUAGGUAAACCUAACACAAAGUCCAUAGAUAUAUCUAUCCAAGGUUCACUAGGUACAGGCAAAUGAGUAUACAAACCAUGGGAUUGAACCUUAGACUUAGCCUUUUUACAAGUUAUGCACUUUCCACAUAUUUGUUCUACGUCAUGUCGCAUUUUAGGCCAAUAAAAAUGUUCCCCUAACAUGUCUAAAGUCUUUUGAACUUCGAAGUGUCCCAUUAAACCACCCCCAUGUGCUUCUCUUACCAAUAAUUUACGCAAAGAACAAUUAGGAAUGCACAACUUAUCUUCCCUAAACAAAUAUCCUUCAUGCCUAUAGAAUUUAUCAAAUGCACCUUUGUCACAUGAAGCAUAAAUACUAGAAAAAUCACAAUCAGAUUCAUACAUGCCCUUAAUAUGCUCGAAACCAAGUAAUUUAGUACUUAAUGAAUUUAAAAGCACGUACCUUCGAGACAACGCAUCAGCAACUAUAUUUUCGUUACCUUGUUUGUACUUGAUGACGUAGGGAAAUGUCUUGAUAAACUCCACCCAUCUCGCAUGUCUUUUGUUCAACUUACCUUGACCUUGCAAAUGCUUUAAAGAUUCAUGAUCGGUGUGUUUCACGAAUUCCUUUGGCCAUAAGUAGUGCUGCCAAGUCUCCAAUGCUCGAACAAGUGAAUAUAGCUCCUUGUCAUAUGUCGGAAAAUUCAAUAUCGCCCCACUCAACUUUUCACUAAAGUAAGCAAUAGGUCUCCUUUCCUGCAUUAACACUGCUCUUAUACCUAUUCCUGAUGUAUCACACUCAACCUCGAAUGUUUUAUCAAAAUUUGGUAAUGCCAAAACAGGUGCUUUACAUAGCUUAUCCUUAAUUGUGUUAAAUGCAAUUUCUUGAGAUUCUCCCUAAUGAAAACAUAUACUCUUCUUUACUAUUUCAGUCAAUGGUGUGGUGAUGGUGCUAAAAUCUCUUACAAAUCGCCUAUAAAAACUAGCCAAUCCAUGAAAACUCCUAACUUCAGUUAUAGUCUUAGGUGUUGGCCAUUCUUUAAUAGCUUUUAUCUUUUCUUCAUCGACUUCCACCCCGAUAGCACUAACCACAAAUCCUAGGAAAACAACUCUAUCCAUGAAAAAUGUGCACUUUUUGAAAUUAGCAUACAGUUGUUCCUUUCGCAAUACAACAAGCACACAAUUUAAAUAUUCUAAAUGCUCAUCCAGGUUUUUGCUAUAGAUUAAGAUGUCAUCAAAAUAAAUUACAACAAAUUUCCUAAUAAAAGCACAUAAAACAUGGUUCAUUAAACGCAUGAAAGUGCUCGGUAGUCCAAAUGGCAUAACUAACCAUUCAUACAAUCCAUACUUAGUCUUAAACUCCGUUUUCCAUUCAUCACCCUCCCGCAUGCGAAUUUGAUGAUACCCACUCUUAAAAUCAAUCUGACAAAAAAUGCAAGCACCAUGCAACUCAGCAAGCAUAUCAUCUAGCCUAGGUAUUGGGUGACGAUACUUUACCGUGAUAUUGUUGAUAGCUCAGCAAUCCACGCACAUUCUCCAAGUCCCGUCCUUCUUAGGCACCAACAAAACAGGUACAGCACAUGGACUCAUGCUCUCCCUGACAUAACCUUUGCUCAUCAACUCCUCUACUUGCUUUUGAAGCUAGUUCGUCUCCUCGGGAUUGCUUCGGUAAGCUGGUCGAUUCGGUAUGACAGCUCCGGGUACAAAGUCAAUCUGGUGCUCAAUGCCUCUGAUUGAUGGCAAUCCACUUGGCAUCUCCUCAGGAAACACAUCGUCGAACUCCUGCAGUAAAGACUUAACCAAACUAGGGAGGGAUGUGUUAGAAUCCUCAAAAUUGAGGAGGGAUUCCUCGUACACUAACAAUAUCAUUUGCCUAUUAUCGCUUAUAGCCUUUUUCAACUCACUCUCUUUUGCAUAGAAGUUGACCUUUGGCUUUUCUCUCUGCUCAGCUGACUCUUUUUCUCUCCUCUCAACUGAGUCCUUUUCUCUCCGCUCAUGUGAUUUCUCUCUCUUUUCUCCACUCUCAGCCACCUCACUAUUUUCUCUCUUAAUGAUGGUUUCACUAUUGCCUCUCCUUUUUUCCGACUCUCUUAUUCUCUUGUCUUCCUCACUUUCUAUAACGAUCUCCAUACACUUGUGCCGGUGUUAAUGGCGCAAGAGUAAUAGUCUUCCCAUCCUUGACAAAGCUAUAACGAUUCUUAUAUCCAUCAUGUGUGACCAUUCUAUCAUAUUGCCAUGGUCUUCCUAACAAGAUAUGACCCACAUGCAUAGGUACCACAUCACAUACUACUUUGUCACUAUAACUCCCAAUUGAGAAAUUAAUUAAAACUCUUUUAUUCACCCUAACUUUCCCACUUUCAUUCAACCAUUGCAACUUAUAAGGCCUAGGGUGUCUUAACAAUGCUAGUCCUAAUUUCUCAACUAAAGUUGUAUUAGCUACAUUCGUGCAACUCCCACCAUCAAUAAUCAUAUUACAUACCUUAUCGUUGACGUAACAACGUGUGCGGAAUAUAGUUUCUCGAUGCUGUUCCAAAUUAUCCACUUUGACUUGAGUGUUAAGAGCUCUCCUUGACACCAACGAUUCCCCAAUAGCAAACUCCAAUUUUUCUUCU
rnacentral:lncRNA from 1 species